rnacentral:rRNA from 1 species
CCUACGGGUGGCAGCAGUAGGGAAUAUUGCUCAAUGGGGGAAACCCUGAAGCAGCAACGCCGCGUGGAGGAUGAAGGUUUUCGGAUUGUAAACUCCUUUUGUUAGAGAAGAUAAUGACGGUAUCUAACGAAUAAGCACCGGCUAACUCCGUGCCAGCAGCCGCGGUAAUACGGAGGGUGCAAGCGUUACUCGGAAUCACUGGGGGUAAAGAGCGCGUAGGCGGGAUAGCAAGUCAGAUGUGAAAUCCUAGGGCUUAACCAUAGAACUGCAUUUGAAACUGUUAUUCUAGAGUACAGGAGAGGUAGGUGGAAUUCUAGGUGUAGGGGUGAAAUCCGUAGAGAUAAGGAGGAAUACUCAUGGCGAAGGCGGCUUGCUGGACCAUAACUGACGCUGAUGCGCGAAAGCGUGGGGAGCAAACAGGAUUAGAUACCCUAGUAGUC